UCCCCGAUAGCUCAGUCGGUAGAGCGCCGGACUGUUAAUCCGUAGGUCCCUGG
rnacentral:tRNA from 1 species